UCCUUGGAGGGCUAGUGGUUAGGCCACAGCGCUCUCAAUGCUGCAGCCUGGGUUCGGUUCCUGGUCAGGGAA